UGGAAACGACUGCUAAUACCGCAUAAGCCCACGGGUCCGCAUGGAUCUGAGGGAAAAGGAGCAAUCCGCUUUGAGAUGGCCUCGCGUCCGAUUAGCUAGUUGGUGAGGUAACGGCCCACCAAGCCGACGAUCGGUAGCCGGACUGGGAGGUUGAACGGCCACAUUGGGACUGAGACACGGCCCAGACUCCUACGGGAGGCAGCAGUGGGGAAUAUUGCACAAUGGAGGAAACUCUGAUGCAGCGACGCCGCGUGAGGGAAGAAGGUCUUCGGAUUGUAAACCUCUGUCUUCGGUGGCGAAAAUGACGGUAGCCGAGGAGGAAGCCACGGCUAACUACGUGCCAGCAGCCGCGGUAAUACAUAGGUGGCAAGCGUUGUCCGGAAUUAUUGGGCGUAAAGCGAGCGCAGGCGGAAGAAUAAGUCUGAUGUGAAAGCCCUCGGCUUAACCGAGGAACUGCAUCGGAAACUGUUUUUCUUGAGUGCAGAAGAGGAGAGUGGAACUCCAUGUGUAGCGGUGGAAUGCGUAGAUAUAUGGAAGAACACCAGUGGCGAAGGCGGCUCUCUGGUCUGCAACUGACGCUGAGGCUCGAAAGCAUGGGUAGCGAACAGGAUUAGAUACCCUGGUAGUCCAUGCCGUAAACGAUGAGUGCUAAGUGUUGGGAGGUUUCCGCCUCUCAGUGCUGCAGCUAACGCAU
rnacentral:rRNA from 1 species